UUGUGUUGUUUAAGAGCUCUUUUAAAAUGUUGAAAUUUUUCUCAAAGUCUGCACAAACAAUUUUGUCAUUAUCCAUUGGAUCUAUAGAAGACCAAUCGGUCUGAAUUUUAUUCUGAUUAAACAUACACAAGGAAGUUAAAUCGGUUUGCUUAUAUAACGAAUUUGAAGCUGAAGAGCAUGUCUCGGAAGCACUAUCUCCAAAAUAUGUGGAAGAAUCAGUAUCGGAAUCGCACUUUAAAGAAUAGCGAUCGCUUCCACUUUGCUCAUUAAAAUAAAAUCUCUUAGAGCAAGUUUGGUCAUCAAGGUGAGAUUCGAAAUUUAGUUGCUUGUUUACAUUUUCGGAGUAGUUAAUGUCAAUAGCGUGUUUCUCACAAAACGAGACAGAACCCAGCGUUUGGGAAUUAUGUACAUUUUGCUUUCCUAGAACUGAAGAAGAUCUAUUGGAAAAGAAAAUAUAAUGGAGCAACUGCUUGAAUUUAUGGGUACGGGUGUUUCGAACGCUAGAUGAAUUUUCAGAAGAGCUUAAAAAAUGUGUCAGUUUGCACUGAACUUCACUCAGUCUGUUAGUGUUUUCGUUACUGAAGAAUUCCAAAGAAGGGGUAGCGGAGGUCAAGGUGCGAUAGGUAUGUACACGUUCCUUCCUCACUUGUGUAGUUGGAUAAUCAACGAAAGUGUUUUUACAGAUCAUAGUGGGCAAAAUUAUUGAGUCCGAAAAAAAAUAAUGAAUAAAAGUAGAUCCGACAAAAAGCUGGCAAAAAGAGUUAACAAAAAUAUUCCCACUUUGUUUUAUUAGAUUAUGUGUAUGAAAAAAUAAUGCAGAAACCUCAAGGAUAUGUAUAGAACUGUAUCACCAAAAGAAUCAUAUAAUAGUCAUGCUUUAAGCCUCUUCAGUCUCUUAAAAUAGACCUCUUUCUUCAAUCAAGCGAAGAACAGUAAUUUUAGCGU